rnacentral:rRNA from 1 species
UACGGGGGGGGCAAGCGUUGUUCGGAAUUACUGGGCGUAAAGGGCUCGUAGGCGGCCAACUAAGUCAUACGUGAAAUCCCUCGGCUUAACCGGGGAACUGCGUCUGAUACUGGAUGGCUUGAGAUUGGGAGAGGGAUGCGGAAUUCCAGGUGUAGCGGUGAAAUGCGUAGAUAUCUGGAGGAACACCGGUGGCGAAGGCGAGUCUCUGGACAGUUACCGACGCUGAGGCACGAAGGUCAGGGGAGCAAACGGG